UUCCACGCCAAGAGCCCGACGCGGAACUCGAUCCCGGGACUCCAGGAUUGUGCCCUGGGCCAAAGGCAGGUGCGAAACUGCUGAGCCACCCAGGGAUCCCCUGUAUGUCUUAAAGAGGUUAAUGAACUUGCAGAUGCCUUAAACAAAGUCACCAAUGAGAAAGUUGAUGUUGAUGAUGUAAAAUCUAUGCUGAAAGGCCUGGGAAUAUAUUUCCCAAAGGAAGAAUUACAGGAGGUGCUUACAUCCAUUCCUCUUGAUAAAGAAGAAGGCCCCCUGAAAGCUCUGGCUGCCAUUAGAAAAAAUGUGGUCACUCCUGAUGAUCUAGGCUCCAUCCUGAAAAAUAUAGGAGUUCCAUUACCUCAAGAUGCACUUCAAAGAUCAGUGCAGAAUGUGGCUCUCAUGGGUGAGUAAUAUUUCUAGAUAUCCUUUAUCUUAGCUGACAUGCAUCUGUUUGAACUUUUCAAGAAUCCUUAAGAGGUCUAUCUGCUUCAUGGAUUAUCCAAGCCUCUUUUCUACCUACUACCCAGUUGAAUCCUACUCAUUUUCAGUAGCAUCAUACAAAGGAAGAUCUAUAGGAGAUUAGUGUAUGUGUCUGAAAGAUAUGCAUGAGUCUGUCUUUCUGAUUAAAUAUGUAUGUCUAUAUUUCAAGGCCAAAUCUAUAAACUGUUUUUCAGUAUGGCAAUUAUGCUAUGGUUGCCCAUCUCUGAUCAUAUUCCCUGUUCAUUGACAUGCAUUUUUUUUCUUUCAGAGGAUGGAAAAGUAAAUUUAGAAGAAUUUAUUGGCAAUUUAAUCAAUCCAGGAUCUUCACCUCUACCUGAAACUGAUAAAGACAUGAAUGAGAAGAAUGGGAUAAAAGAUGGGAGGUCAUCUGCUGGGGGAGAAGGUGACCUCAGUGAGCUGGAUAUUGUCCUGCAAAAAAUGGGGAUAGAGGCCUCCCCUACAGACCACUUGGAGCUAGAGAAGUUACAUCCAAUUAAUGCUACAGCUAGUCGAAAAUAUAUAAGAAUAGAUUGCUGA
rnacentral:lncRNA from 1 species